GACGAGGUGAGCGCAACAAAUUGGUGGCCUGUACAGGGACCCGAGGAUCUCAUGGAUUCAGAACUGUUCAGCUGAGGAAUGGCAGUACCGAGUCACCUCUUAUCUGAGUAGGAAAUUGGUCAGCUAAAGUGGAGCAGUUGUCCAGAAAGCUGCUCCUCCAGAUUGCCAAACUCAACAGCACUCGACUGGACCCUGUCACCUUGGGGAACUUCACCUCCUGGAUCACCAAUGCCUUCUCAUUUUUUAAGGAAUGGGUGGGAAUGUUGGCCUGGGGGGCAGUGGUCCUCCUGGGUUGUGUCUUUUGUAUCUGGCUAUUGUGUCGAUUCAAACAAGAGCAUGCUCAGUAUAAGGCAGUGUGUACCAAGCAUUGAUGGCGAUUAAAGAUAGCGCAUCUCC
rnacentral:lncRNA from 1 species